AUUGAACGCUGACGGCAGGCUUAACACAUGCAAGUCGAGCGGGGUGAUGGUGCUUGCACUAUCACUUAGCGGCGGACGGGUGAGUAAUGCUUAGGAAUCUGCCUAUUAGUGGGGGACAACAUCUCGAAAGGGAUGCUAAUACCGCAUACGUCCUACGGGAGAAAGCAGGGGAUCACUUGUGACCUUGUGCUAAUAGAUGAGCCUAAGUCGGAUUAGCUAGUUGGUGGGGUAAAGGCCUACCAAGGCGACGAUCUGUAGCGGGUCUGAGAGGAUGAUCCGCCACACUGGGACUGAGACACGGGCCAGAAUCCUACGGGAGGCAGCAGUGGGGAAUAUUGGACAAUGGGGGGAACCCUGAUCCAGCCAUGCCGCGUGUGUGAAGAAGGCCUUAUGGUUGUAAAGCACUUUAAGCGAGGAGGAGGCUUACCUAGUUAAUACCUGGGAUAAGUGGACGUUACUCGCAGAAUAAGCACCGGCUAACUCUGUGCCAGCCGCCGCAGUAA
rnacentral:rRNA from 1 species